CCUACGGGGGGCAGCAGUGGGGGAUAUUGCACAAUGGGGGGAACCCUGAUGCAGCGACGCCGCGUGGGUGAAGAAGCGCCUCGGCGCGUAAAGCCCUGUCAGCAGGGAAGAAAAUGACGGUACCUGAAGAAGAAGCCCCGGCUAACUACGUGCCAGCAGCCGCGGUUAUACGUAGGGGGCAAGCGUUAUCCGGAUUUACUGGGUGUAAAGGGGGCGCAGACGGCGAUGCAAGCCAGGAGUGAAAGCCCGGGGCCCAACCCCGGGACUGCACUUGGAACUGCGUGGCUGGAGUGCAGGAGGGGCAGGCGGAAUUCCUGGUGUAGCGGUGAAAUGCGUAGAUAUCAGGAGGAACACCAGUGGCGAAGGAGGCUCUCUGAUCUGCAACUGACGCUGAGGCUCGAAAGCAUGGGUAGCGAACAGGAUUAGAUACCCGAGUAGUC
rnacentral:rRNA from 1 species